AUGGAUGGUGUUUACGGAAGAAUAAAGGUCUUCCCGCAGCACUUCACGCCCGAGAAAGAGCCCAUGGACGGUGCUGAUGGUCUGUCCACAAGUAAGAGCAACAUGGAUCCGUCACCAAGUCCAUGUAGGCAUUCUUGGACCCCGAAACGAGUCAAGGGAGUUUCUCUUCUGCAACUGUUGUCUAUUCCUUGCAUUAGGUGGUCUUCCAGCAACAAGGAUGAUGACAAGACCGAAUUGACAAGAGCUGAAGUAGAAUCAUUACGAAGCGAAAUUGCCGAUGCCGAUGAAAGGGUGUCCUAGCUAAAAGCCCAGUUAGAAAAUAUUGACGAAGCCUUGAGAUAUGCACUCCUUUCCGGGUACCUCCAUAUCAGAAGUAGAUGGACUCAACUUCCUGGGGAGCCACCUAUCAUAGACGACGCCGAUGUCGAUGACUGGCUUCCUCGCUUUGUUGUCCUACAAGGACAGUGUUUAUACUACUAUCUGAAGUGUACUGGUAAGAUGAAGCUUUUGACAUACUGGUCAUGGUCAUCCAAUCACAUUAAUACGUUGCACUACUGCUCUUUCUUGACAUGCUGA
rnacentral:rRNA from 1 species